rnacentral:tRNA from 1 species
GCGGACGUGGCGGAACCGGUAGACGCUGGAGACUUAAAAUCUUCUGCCCCUAAUGGGCGUGCGGGUUCGAGUCCCGCCGUCCGCACCA